UGAGUUAAAAAUUUAAAAAACGUAAACACUCUCUCUGCAUGCACCCUCUCACUUUACUGAAUUUCUUUCUCUUUAGCUCUCCAAAAUCUUAUCUUGCAGCUGCUCAUUUUCAUUCCAAUCCUCUUCUAUUUCUUUCAAAUAGAUUGUGCUUGAAGCAUGAUAAUCUUCCAUCGGUUCAGUCCAGUGGUUACUCCUCGUCUGGGUAGUAUGGGUAGUAUAAAGUUCCUGGAAGCAUAAAGGUGUGCUGGAAAUUCUCUUGAGUUCAAGUGCUGAAACCUAAGAGGGAGAGGAUGUUCUCCUGGAGCAAGCUUUGGAGCCAGAGGAUCCAGUCACUACCUCUUAAAACUCUUUCUAUUAGACUCCUUUCUAUAUUUUGAAAAACUUUGUAGCUUAUAUACAACACCUAGUUUAUAUUAUUACUCUUAGAUCUUUUCCAUUAUUUUAAGAGACUCCUUAUGUACUUAAAGUUUUUAAUUUUAUAACCCCUUCGA